UACGUAGGGUGCAAGCGUUAAUCGGAAUUACUGGGCGUAAAGCGUGCGCAGGCGGUUUUGUAAGUCUGUUGUGAAAUCCCCGGGCUUAACCUGGGAAUGGCAAUGGAGACUGCAAGGCUAGAGUUUGGCAGAGGGGGGUAGAAUUCCACGUGUAGCAGUGAAAUGCGUAGAGAUGUGGAGGAACACCGAUGGCGAAGGCAGCCCCCCUGGGUCAAAACUGACGCUCAUGCACGAAAGCGUGGGGAGCAAACAGG
rnacentral:rRNA from 1 species